rnacentral:tRNA from 1 species
AAAUUCAGGACUAUUAGAACCAAGAGCCUUCAAAGCCCUUAAAAAGAGGUACAACCCCUCUAAUUUCUG